GUGAUCCUCUGGCAGCACAAAUCCUGUCCUUGGAAGAAUACAGAGGAUAUAGGUAUGGCCCCUGCACAAGCAUGACAUGGAUUCCUGAAGCAGCUGGCCUGGUUUUC
rfam:Egretta garzetta contig55130, whole genome shotgun sequence.